UACGGAGGGAGCUAGCGUUGUUCGGAAUUACUGGGCGUAAAGCGCACGUAGGCGGCUUUGUAAGUUAGAGGUGAAAGCCCGGGGCUCAACUCCGGAACUGCCUUUAAGACUGCAUCGCUUGAAUCCAGGAGAGGUGAGUGGAAUUCCGAGUGUAGAGGUGAAAUUCGUAGAUAUUCGGAAGAACACCAGUGGCGAAGGCGACUUACUGGACAUGUAUUGACGCUGAGGUGCGAAAGCGUGGGGAGCAAACAGG
rnacentral:rRNA from 1 species